AAUCCCCAUAUUCUAAGCUUUGCAUUUCUGAGGAUUUCAUCAUAGGAUGACAGAACAUUUGAUCUAACAGGAGAAAAGUGGGAAAUUACUUCAAAUGGGUUAGAAAAGCUCCCUCAUUUGGAAUAAGAAUGUCAGGUAUAAGUUGGUAAUGACCAGCAGUCAGCUGUAGAGCUUGAUAGACACUUAGCUGAGCCAUUUCUCAGCCCUUCCAUUGGCCCUUGUGACUGUAUCCUAACCCAUUUUCUUCCAUAGCAUUUCUUUUCCCCAUGAUCUUUCCAAUGAAUUCACCCUUAGAUGGCAAUUCUCUCACACCAAGCUAAGGUUAUCUUUCUUACUACCAAUUCCUUCUAGGCUUCGUCAUUUCUUUCCUAACGUCUUCUGAUUCGACUUUGAGACAACCCAGCACUCUGGAAUCUUUGCUGCAUCUUCUCCAAUGAACAGAUGUUCCUUUCCAUUCUCUUAACAAGCUGUCCACCCUAGAAAAUCAGAACAAGUGGUUGCUGGCAAGCAAAGCAUAUGAUGGUGUCCCUGUGAUGUUCAGGUGGCUCAGAAGAUGUAUUUGGUUCAAGAUUGGAGGGGGAGUGGCAGACCUCUACUUUGGCCAGUGAGGUGAGUGGCUGUGGCAGACUGCAUGAUGCGUCCAAACCCUUUUUCUUUGACUCUUCCAUGAGGCGCUGGAAGUCUUGAAUAGGAAAGCAAGGAAUCAAUAGCUCAGAGGCUAAGCUCUGAGCAUUACUUCAUAGGGAUCUUAACCUGUUGUCCUGACAUUUCCCAAAAAGGAGCAUUUACUAAAGAAGAAU
rnacentral:lncRNA from 1 species